rnacentral:tRNA from 1 species
GGAGAGUUGUCCGAGUUGGCCGAAGGAGCACGCCUGGAAAGUGUGUAGGCGCCACAAGCGUCUCGAAGGGUUCGAAUCCCUCACUCUCCG